GGACUACAAGGGUAUCUAAUCCGGUUCGCUCCCCACGCUCUCGCACAUCAGCGUCAGCAGAUGCCCAGUCGGCUGGUUUCCCCCUGGGUGUUCCUGCCGAUCUCUACGCAUUUCACCACUACACCGGCAAUUCCACCGACCUCUGCAUCGCUCCAGUCGCGCCGUAUGGGAUGGCGCCUGGCCGUUAAGCGGCCAGAUUUCACACCCCACGCGCGCAACCGCCUGCGUGCGCUUUACGCCCAGUCAAUCCGGACAACGCUUGGCUCCUCUGUAUUACCGCGGCUGCUGGCAC
rnacentral:rRNA from 1 species